ACGAACGCUGGCGGCGUGCCUAAUACAUGCAAGUCGCGCGGACUGAAUGGGAGCUUGCUCUUGUUCGGUCAGCGGCGGACGGGUGAGUAACACGUGGGCAACCUGCCCGCAAGACCGGGAUAACUCCGGGAAACCGGAGCUAAUACCGGAUAACACCGAAGACCGCAUGGUCUUUGGUUGAAAGGCGGCGCAAGCUGCCACUUGCGGAUGGGCCCGCGGCGCAUUAGCUAGUUGGUGAGGUAACGGCUCACCAAGGCGACGAUGCGUAGCCGGCCUGAGAGGGUGACCGGCCACACUGGGACUGAGACACGGCCCAGACUCCUACGGGAGGCAGCAGUAGGGAAUCUUCCGCAAUGGGCGAAAGCCUGACGGAGCGACGCCGCGUGAGCGAAGAAGGCCGUCGGGUCGUAAAGCUCUGUUGUGAGGGACGAAGGAGCGCCGUUUGAAGAAGGCGGCGCGGUGACGGUACCUCACGAGGAAGCCCCGGCUAACUACGUG
rnacentral:rRNA from 1 species